CCCAACUAAUUAACCCAUUUCACUACCCCGUUUCACCCUAACCCAUUUCAAACACUCUCCUCUCAUUCUCUCUCCUCAACCCAUUUCACCCUCCUCCUUCCUCCUCCUCCCUCAUCGAUACCAGCAAAUUCGCCCCUAACACUUCCCUCUCCCUCUCUCUCAGCUGAUACACUCAAACUCCCUUAACUUUCUCUCUCCUCUCUUCUGUGUUCAACCACCGCGACCAUCGUUCUUCGCUUACCCAACAACCACGGUGAAAUUUCGAGAAACGCCAAGAACUUCAUACGUGUCACGCCGAAGCUGCGGUUGUUACUGUUUCUCUGUCUAUCUCUUCCCUCUUCACUCGCGAUCCACUCCUUGGAACGCAUGUCAAGCAAUCUUUUCAACUACUUUUAUACGAGCAAUCAAGGCAGCUUUGAAGGUAAAUAACUCUUUAGUUUGGAUCGAAAUUGUGCUUGUAUAUGCUAACAGUAUACUUCAUGCUUUGUUUAGAUUGUGGGGGAGUGAAUUUAAUCAUUUAUAUGGUUAGGAUUGGUCAUGAAAGCUAGAGGCACUCAAUAUAUUUAUAAUCUUCAAGCAAGUUAUAUAGUGUCUUCAUACAUAUUUUCUUCAAGGCUCUAUUAUAAUCUUCCCAGUCGCAUGUCCACUCAUCAUUUUACUCCAAGCAUCUUCAGCUUUACUCAAAGGGUGUUUUGAGUCUACAACUGUUUUGAGCUUCCCUUCCUUCACCAAAUUUACCACAUAUUCGAAGUUUUCUGUUUUUGGUAUCAAAAACAGAGGCACCAACUGCUUCUUGGAGAAUGUCAGCAUCUUCAUGGCAAAUGUCAUUAUUGCACUUGGGCUGGGAGUUAUGUCUAUCACCUUACCUGCAGUACUCAAAUUGGGUUCAAAGGUAGCCCAAGGGAUGCCCAUAGCACAAUGAAUCACAUAGUCAUAUUUCUUUCCCGAGGGGCUUUUCAAGGCAGCCCCCUCUGGAGUCUUGUAGUCAAGAACCUCGUUGGCGCCCAAGCUAUUGACAAAUUCUAGGUUGCGGGCCCCACAUGUUGCUGUUAUAUGCGCGUUUCCGAGCUUCGCCAGCUGGACAGCAUAGUGUCCCACACCACCAGAUGCAGCCGUGAUCAAUAUGUUCUUCGUUUCACCACUUCCAUCAAGCUUGAUGCUUGCAGACUGGGUAAGAGCUUGGUGAGCAGUAAGGGCAGCAACAGGGAGAGCUGCACCUUCUGGUGCUGUUACUUCUGGUGGUCUAGCAACUGUAAGGUUUUCUUUUGCCACAACAUAUUCAGCCAGGGCACCUCCAUUCUGUCAGUUAAUCAACCAUCAGUCACAUUUUUUCUUUUUUCCCCCACAAGAUGUGUGAUGCGGGAUUAGCAUGAAAAUGAGAGACACAAGUUAGAAAUAAAUUCUGACAUGCUCGUCAUAAAAGAGUUAGAAACGAAUUCUGAUAAGGUUUGCCAGGAAGCAAAGCAACUUACAGCAUGACUAAGUAUGGCCACGACCUUGUCACCGGUUUUGAACUUCUUUACAGAAGUUCCAGCCUGGACAACCUCACCUGCGACAUCAGAACCUGAACCAACAAAAAGAGAUGCCCAACUAUCAAUUCAUGCAUGCUACGGACAGUCUCAGCUAAAAUAAGAAUCGUUUAUUUCUUGAA